UUGAUGUUCCUCUUCAGGGAAAAUGAUAUAAACUCUCCCAAGGUCAUGACUGAUGUAAUUUGGGGGAAACAUGUCAUCCAUUUCUGAGGCACACCCACUUUCUUCUUAAAUAAUUAAAAUAUUUAAUCCCAAAUUUCUUUUCUGUCCCUAUAUGUGUCAACCAGAGCUGUGUGAGCAACAGAAAUCCUUGAGUCACAUAAACAAUUUUUAUUGUAAAAUGCUAUCAGAACUGUGUGUGUUUUAGUAUAAUCCAUUUUCUGUCAGGCAUUUGACUUAAUGAUAUUUCCUCUUCUACUUAUGUAUUUCAUUAUCUGUUUUUGUGUCUUCAGAAACACAAUAAACUAUAAUGAACAUGAAAAGAUUGGUACGCUUUUCAGAGCAUGUUUCAUUUUUCAUCUUUAAUGGAUCUUUUUGUAGGGUUCUCACAACCAAUUGAAAGAGAAUAAAACAUUCUCUUGCUUCAUAACCAAAUUACUGCUCACACUUCCAGCAACCUUUGGAAGGGGAAUCCUGGCUAUUGAUGUCCCUGGAAAGAGAGUGGUAGAAGAAAAGAAAUUGAAGACAUGGAAGAAAGAUGAAAACACUGACUACUAAAUACCUAUGUGUGGUUACUGAGUGUGGUAUACUUGGACACCGAGCUCCCCCACCCAUCAGAUGUCACAAAGAGUCCUUUUUGUCUUGGAUAAUUUCAAAACAAACUGACCUCCCCAGUAGUUUCUUUGGUGAACACCCCAUGGAUGACUUGCAGAGCAUUUUGCGCUUUGAGAUGGCGUGUGUAUCCCUG
rnacentral:lncRNA from 10 species